rnacentral:rRNA from 1 species
UACGUAGGGACCAAGCGUUGUUCGGAUUUACUGGGCGUAAAGGGCGCGUAGGCGGCGCGGUAAGUCACUUGUGAAAUCUCUGAGCUUAACUCAGAACGGCCAAGUGAUACUGCGGUGCUAGAGUGUGGAAGGGGCGAUUGGAAUUCCGUGUGUAGCGGUGAAAUGCGUAGAUAUACGGAGGAACACCAGAGGCGAAGGCGGAUCGCUGGGCCAACACUGACGCUGAGACGCGAAGGCUAGGGUAGCAAACGGG